CCUACGGGAGGCAGCAGUGGGGAAUAUUGCACAAUGGGGGAAACCCUGAUGCAGCAACGCCGCGUGAGCGAUGAAGGCCUUCGGGUCGUAAAGCUCUGUCCUAAGGGAAGAAUACUGACGGUACCUUAGGAGGAAGCCCCGGCUAACUACGUGCCAGCAGCCGCGGUAAUACGUAGGGGGCUAGCGUUAUCCGGAAUUACUGGGCGUAAAGGGUGCGUAGGCGGCCCUUCAAGUCAGAGGUGAAAGGCUACGGCUCAACUGUAGUAAGCCUUGGAAACUGUAGGGCUUGAGUGCAGGAGAGGGGAGUGGAAUUCGCAGUGUGGCGGUGAAAUGCGUGGAGAUUGGGAGGAACGCCAGUUGGGAAGGCGGCUCUGUGGGCUGUAACUGACGCUGGGGCACGAAAGCGUGGGGAGCGAACAGGAUUAGAUACCCGUGUAGUG
rnacentral:rRNA from 1 species